AUGAUGAACAUAAAUGAACACAUUAAAAAUGCUUUGCCUUUCAAAGAUCAGCAAACGAAAGGAGACUUAAAAAUUCCUUCUUCACGGGGUCUCCGAUUCCAAUCAUCUCUGUUCUCCGUUGUUGUCCCUGCCUGGUGGAACAACCUGCCCUCCUCCACACGACUAGCCGAGACUAUCACCACUUUUAAGAAGCAGAAAUAACAUGCAGUGUAAAGUUCUGCACGUUCUGCACUUCCAAUCAAGAGGGUCUGCAAAUGGGUGAAGCAAAUACAGAUUAACCACAGAGGACCAGAUUGUGUCUGCAGCUUCAAAACCCCAGGUAGAUCCCACCGAUCUCGUUGUCAUCCUAAAGAAGAAAACCAGAUUGUGUGACUUGGGCAUUAAGGAAGCGGCCCAGUAAUCAGAAAGUUGUCCAAUCUGCCGGUAAUAAAAAAAAAAAAAGGCACUGAUAAUCA
rnacentral:lncRNA from 1 species